GCGAGGAAUUUUGCGCAAUGGGCGCAAGCCUGACGCAGCAACGCCGCGUGGGCGAAGAAGGCCUUCGGGUUGUAAAGCCCUUUUGUCGGGGAAGAAGAUCUGACGGUACCCGGCGAAUAAGCCACGGCUAACUACGUGCCAGCAGCCGCGGUAAUACGUAGGUGGCAAGCGUUAUCCGGAUUUACUGGGCGUAAAGCGCGCGCAGGCGGCUCGGUCAGUCUGUCGUGAAAUCUCCCGGCUCAACUGGGAGGGGUCGGUGGAUACUGCCGGGCUUGAGGGGCGUAGAGGCGAGCGGAAUUCCCGGUGUAGUGGUGAAAUGCGUAGAUAUCGGGAGGAACACCAGUGGCGAAAGCGGCUCGCUGGGCGCCACCUGACGCUGAGGCGCGAAAGCGUGGGGAGCGAACCGG
rnacentral:rRNA from 1 species